AUUGAACGCUGGCGGUAUGCUUUACACAUGCAAGUUCGAACGGUAGUCCUUCGGGAUGAGAGUGGCGAACGGGUGAGUAAUAUAUCGGAACAUGUCCGUAAGUGGGGGAUAACGUAGAGAAAUUUACGCUAAUACCGCAUAUUCCCUGAGGGGGAAAGGAGGGGAUCGCAAGACCUUUCGCUAACGGAGUGGCCGAUAUCGGAUUAGCUAGUAGGUGAGGUAAAGGCUCACCUAGGCGACGAUCCGUAGCGGGUCUGAGAGGAUGAUCCGCCACACUGGGACUGAGACACGGCCCAGACUCCUACGGGAGGCAGCAGUGGGGAAUUUUGGACAAUGGGCGAAAGCCUGAUCCAGCCAUACCGCGUGAGUGAAGAAGGCCUUCGGGUUGUAAAGCUCUUUCAGCCGGAAAGAAAUCCUGCUUACUAAUACUAAGUGGGGAUGACGGUACCGGAAGAAGAAGCACCGGCUAACUACGUGCCAGCAGCCGCGGUAAUACGUA
rnacentral:rRNA from 1 species